CUUGUAGAAUUUUCAGACAGAAUUCGCAUGGAAGGCUUCAAUUGGAUGUUUGUCGCACAUUUUAAAGUCUAGUUUAUUGAGUGGCCCCCAAACCUCACUUCCGUAAAGAGCUAUUGGUAGGAUUACACUGUCAAAUAUGUUGGUCCAAAUUCUAAUUGGGAUGUUGAUUUUGAAUAAUUUCAUUUUUAUUGCGGGCUUUUUCUUUGAGUGCAUUCACUGCCAUAUUAAAGUUUCCCAAUGCAGAUAUGGUGAGACGGUAGGUUUAAAUUUUAGUGUGUUCAAUUAUGGUGUUGUUCAGGGUGAAUUUAUAUGUGUGCUUCUGAUAGCAGUUUUUUGGGGGGUAGAAAUCAUGAUUUUUGUUUCUUGGAAAUUUACUGCCAGGGUACAAUUAUGGCAAUAUUGCUCCAGAAUAUUAAUGUUCUGUUGAAGACCUUUGGUUGGUGAUUUUUAUUUAUGUUUCCUUUAUUUAUCUAGGCAAGUCUUAAGAAGAAAUUAUUAUUUUCAAUGACGGUUGUUCAGGGGCAGAACGACAGAUUUGUACCUUGUCAACCCGGGGAUUCAAUCUUGCAACCUUACUAGUCCAAUGCUCUAACCACUAGGCUAUGCUGCCGCCUAAAUUAGAAGUACCAAGUCAUCAGCAUAUAGCAGGUAUUUCUGGGGCUGCAGAAUGGUCCAACAUGUCUGCUAAUUCAUUCAGCCUUGUCUCACACCUUGACAUUGUGAAAAUAAUUAUGUUCUUUGGUUUUUGAUUUUUAUUGCACACUUGUUUUCUGUGUACAUAUAUUUUAUUAAGUCAUAUACCUUACCACCAAGCCCACUUUGGAGAAUGUUGUAGAAUAGCCCUUUGUGGCAAAUAGAAUCAAAUGUUUUUUUUUAAGUCAAUAAAGCAAGCAAAGAUUUUGCCCUCUUUUUUUGGUGGACGUCUUUAUUAAUGAGUGUGUGUAAGGUGGACAGUAGUGUUUAUUAACGAGUGUGUGUAAGGUGGACAGUAGUGUUUAUUAACGAGUGUGUGUAAGGUGGACAGUAGUGUUUAUUAACGAGUGUGUGUAAGGUGGACAGUAGUGUUUAUUAACGAGUGUGUGUAAGGUGGACAGUAGUGUUUAUUAACGAGUGUGUGUAAGGUGGACAGUAGUGUUUAUUAACGAGUGUGUGUAAGGUGGACAGUAGUGUUUAUUAACGAGUGUGUGUAAGAUGGACAGUCGUGUUUAUUAACGAGUGUGUGUAAGGUGGACAGUAGUGUUUAUUAACGAGUGUGUGUAAGGUGGACAGUAGUGUUUAUUAACGAGUGUGUGUAAGGUGGACAGUAGUGUUUAUUAACGAGUGUGUGUAAGGUGGACAGUAGUGUUUAUUAACGAGUGUGUGUAAGGUGGACAGUAGUGUUUAUUAACGAGUGUGUGUAAGGUGGACAGUAGUGUUUAUUAACGAGUGUGUGUAAGGUGGACAGUAGUGUUUAUUAACGAGUGUGUGUAAGGUGGACAGUAGUGUUUAUUAACGAGUGUGUGUAAGAUGGACAGUCGUGUUUAUUAACGAGUGUGUGUAAGGUGGACAGUAGUGUUUAUUAACGAGUGUGUGUAAGGUGGACAGUAGUGUUUAUUAACGAGUGUGUGUAAGGUGGACAGUAGUGUUUAUUAACGAGUGUGUGUAAGGUGGACAGUAGUGUUUAUUAACGAGUGUGUGUAAGGUGGACAGUAGUGUUUAUUAACGAGUGUGUGUAAGGUGGACAGUAGUGUUUAUUAACGAGUGUGUGUAAGGUGGACAGUAGUGUUUAUUAACGAGUGUGUGUAAGGUGGACAGUAGUGUUUAUUAACGAGUGUGUGUAAGGUGGACAGUAGUGUUUAUUAACGAGUGUGUGUAAGGUGGACAGUAGUGUUUAUUAACGAGUGUGUGUAAGGUGGACAGUAGUGUUUAUUAACGAGUGUGUGUAAGGUGGACAGUAGUGUUUAUUAACGAGUGUGUGUAAGGUGGACAGUAGUGUUUAUUAACGAGUGUGUGUAAGGUGGACAGUAGUGUUUAUUAACGAGUGUGUGUAAGGUGGACAGUAGUGUUUAUUAACGAGUGUGUGUAAGGUGGACAGUAGUGUUUAUUAACGAGUGUGUGUAAGGUGGACAGUAGUGUUUAUUAACGAGUGUGUGUAAGGUGGACAGUAGUGUUUAUUAACGAGUGUGUGUAAGGUGGACAGAAGUGUUUAUUAACGAGUGUGUGUAAGGUGGACAGAAGUGUUUAUUAACGAGUGUGUGUAAGGUGGACAGAAGUGUUUAUUAACGAGUGUGUGUAAGGUGGACAGUAGUGUUUAUUAAUGAGUUUGUGUAAGGUGGACAGUAGUGUUUAUUAAUGAGUGUGUGUAAGGUGGACAGUAGUGUUUAUUAAUGAGUGUGUGUAAGGUGGACAGUAGUGUUUAUUAAUGAGUGUGUGUAAGGUGGACAGUAGUGUUUAUUAAUGAGUGUGUGUAAGGUGGACAGAAGUGUGGUGGUAUUUAUUAAUGAGUGUGUGUAAGGUGGACAGUAGUGUUUAUUAAUGAGUGUGUGUAAGGUGGACAGUAGUGUUUAUUAAUGAGUGUGUGUAAGGUGGACAGUAGUGUUUAUUAAUGAGUGUGUGUAAGGUGGACAGUAGUGUUUAUUAAUGAGUGUGUGUAAGGUGGACAGAAGUGUUUAUUAAUGAGUGUGUGUAAGGUGGACAGUAGUGUUUAUUAAUGAGUGUGUGUAAGGUGGACAGUAGUCUUUAUUAAUGAGUGUGUGUAAGGUGGACAGUAGUGUUUAUUAAUGAGUUUUUGUAAGGUGGACAGUAGUGUUUAUUAAUGAGUGUGUGUAAGGUGGACAGUAGUGUUUAUUAAUGAGUGUGUGUAAGGUGGACAGUAGUGUUUAUUAAUGAGUGUGUGUAAGGUGGACAGUAGUGUUUAUUAAUGAGUGUGUGUAAGGUGGACAGUAGUGUUUAUUAAUGAGUGUGUGUAAGGUGGACAGUAGUGUUUAUUAAUGAGUGUGUGUAAGGUGGACAGUAGUGUUUAUUAAUGAGUGUGUGUAAGGUGGACAGAAGUGUGGUGGUAUUUAUUAAUGAGUGUGUGUAAGGUGGACAGUAGUGUUUAUUAAUGAGUGUGUGUAAGGUAGACAGUAGUGCGGUGGUGUUGAUUAAUGAGUGUGUGUAAGAUGUAUAUAUGGUCAAUAGAGCAGUGGUGUUUAUUAAUGAGUGUGUGUAAGAUGUAUAUAUGGUCAGUAAAGCAGUGGU